CGGGGCGUGGCGCAGCCCGGCCAGCGCGCCUGCUUUGGGAGCAGGAGGUCGCCGGUUCGAAUCCGGCCGCCCCGA
rnacentral:tRNA from 1 species